GGAAGGAUGUGAUGCUGUCAGUCAAUGGUCAUGUGGCAACGCCGCCAUGCUGCUGUACCAGAAGUUAAGUUUGACAGCCCUAGUUUAAAUUGAUUACUGAGUCUGUGCAGCAUAACAUGGUUAUCAUCUAACAAGUUAACUUUGUGAGAUUUGCCUUAACUAACUACGAAUUACAAUUAUUUUCACAGAGCCAUUAUGUCCAUAAGGAGGAGGAGGAAAAAGCCUAUAGAUGAUGCAAAGACGUACAUUCUGUCUUGCACUGACAAGGAUGGGUUUAUGCCGAGAUUCAUUGACCAUUACAAAGGAAGAGGAGUGUUUGCCACACAACCCAUUGAACCCGGGGACUUCGUGUUGGAGUACAGGGGUAAACUCCUCACACAGGAGGAAAGCAAGUCAAGAAAAUACUCAGAGAUUGAAAGCACAUUUUUCUUUGACUUUCAGUGGCAGAAUCAUCACUUAUGGUAAACAUUGAAAGAUGGAUGUCUUUUUAUUGAUUUAUAGAAAUUACGAGUUAACUCUGAAACAAGGGUUUAAUACUUGAUGAAUGAAUUAAGCACAAAUACUCUUAAAUUCUUUUGAAAAUAACUCUUUCAAUAAAACUUUUAAAAAGAUGUAAAACUAUUACCAUUUUUCUGAUACUUUUCAGCCUGGAUGCAUCGUAAGACGAUUUUUCUCUAGGACGUUUGGUCAACGACAACCACCAAAAUCCGAAUUGCAUUAUGAAAAAGAUCAUAGUUGACAACAAAACACAUUUGUGCCUAUUUUCUCUGAAGAAAAUAGAAAUAGGAGAUCAAAUUGAUUACAACUAUGGUGAUUCAAAAUGGCCUUGGCGCAGUAAGGUGAGUUGAUUAGAUUAAGUAUAGAGAUUUCUUUUUUUUCUUUUUUUUUUGCCAAAGCAAAUUUUGUAUUUCUCCAAUAUUAACCAUGUGUCCAAUAUUACUCUUGACUGUCUAUGGAAAUGCAUUUAAUCUUUGGUCUUUGAUGUGUGUUAAAAUGAGUUCUUCUUUAUCUGCAAUCCAGUUGAAAAAAACCCAAGCUCCACCUGCAGCUGUAGAGAAUGAGACCAGCCCUGUUCUUCAGAUGCUAAAUGAUGGUCCAAACCCAGAUCAGACCUGCUCACAGGUUUUUUAUAUGUAAUGUUGCAAAAAUAGGUAUUAACAGAUUUGUGUUUGUUUUUAAAGAUUCAGAUGAAUCUCAUGGAAUCAGAUGACUCAAACUUAGGUAGCGAAGAGGAGUAUAUUCCAAAUCCCAGGGAUGAAAGCACAGAAAGUGAUAGCAGUAUGGAAUUAA